rnacentral:lncRNA from 14 species
ACAUCAUUGGCAGCUCCAGCCCCAUAUAUCCUCCCGCUAACAGCCGCUCAUUAACGCUCAUUAACGCCCUCUCAUCCCCAUUAAGCCUCAUUAACGGCUCCGUUUCCGGCUCUGCUCCACCCUUCCCGUGCCAGGGACUGGGACUAAACGGGAAAGGCUCCUGGAGGGAUGGGAUGAGGUAGGAAUGGGAUAAGGAUGGGAUGAGGUAGGAAUGGGAUAAGGAUGGGAUGGGAUGAGGUGGGAAUGGGAUAAGGAUGGGAUGAGGUAGGAAUGGGAUAAGGAUGGGAUGGGAUGAGGUGGGAAUGGGAUAAGGAUGGGAUGGGAUGAGGUGGGGAUGGGAUAAAGAUGGGAUGAAGCAGGUUGGGAUGGGGAUGAGGUGCGAUGGGAUGAAGGGAUAGGAUGAGGAUGGGAUUGGGAUGAAAUGGGACAGGCUGAGGAUGGGGAGGGAUGGGAUAAGGAUGGGGACACAAAGGGAAGGAGACCCUGCCCCCCCCCCCAUUAAUAAAAGCAAAUCCAAAGAGAGCAAAGAGCUUUAAUGGCUCCAGCAGCACUUGAGCCUCCCCAGCCCCCCCUUUUCCAAUGGGAUUUGGGGCCAGAUCCAAUGGGAUGGAGCUAGAUCCAAUGGCAUGGGGUUGGAUCCAUCGAGAUCAGCUGGGAUCCAUUGGGAUCAGGAUGGAUCAGUUGGGAUCACGACUGGAUCCAUUGGGAUCAGCUCCAUCAGGAUCAGGAUGGAUCGGGAUCAGAUUGGAUCCACUGGGAUCAGUUGGGAUCCAUCAGAAUCAGGUUGGAUCCAUCAGGAUCAGGACUGGAUCCCUCCGGAUCAGCUCCACUGGGAUCAGUUGGGAUCCAUCGGGAUCAGGACUGGAUCCAUUGGGAUCAGUUGGGAUCCCUCGCAAUCAGGUUGGAUCUAUUGGGAUCCAUUGGGAUCAGGAUGGAUCCAUUGGUAUCAGCUCCAUCGGGAUCAGUUGGGAUCCAUCAGGAUUGGUUGGGAUCCAUCGGGAUCAGUUGGGAUCCAUCAGGAUCAGUUGGGAUCCAUCAGGAUCAGUUGGGAUCCGUUGGGAUCCAUGGGGAUCAGUUGGGAUCCAUCGGGAUCAGGUUGGAUCCAUCAGGAUCAGGUUGGAUCUAUCAGGAUCAGCGCUCCCGGGUCUCUCAUCCGCUGUGGCUCCAGGGCAGCCCCAGCUGUGGCAUCGCCCAGGGUUGGAUGGGGCCAUAGCGGCGCCGGUGCCAGAGGCAGCCGCGGCUCCAGGAACGCGACGGCGGCGACGGUGAGGACCAGAGCGUGGUGCUUGAGGGCCGUGUGCACAC